ACRAUGACUCUCGGCAACGGAUAUCUCGGCUCUUGCAUCGAUGAAGAACGUAGCGAAAUGCGAUACUUGGUGUGAAUUGCAGAAUCCCGUGAACCAUCGAGUCUUUGAACGCAAGUUGCGCCCGAAGCCAUUAGGCCGAGGGCACGCCUGCCUGGGUGUCACAC
rnacentral:rRNA from 1 species